rnacentral:lncRNA from 1 species
CUCUGGGCAUGCCUAGGAAAAGCUUUGAAGAUUUGGAUUAAUAGGGGUGGACCCUGACCAUGGGCGGCACAAUUCCAUAGGCUCAGAUCCCAGACAAUGAAAGAGAGCAAGCUGAGCAGUGUUCUCUCUGUUACUGGACUGCAGAUGAAAUGUGACCGGCCACCUAAAGCUUCUCUCGCCCUGCCUCUGCUGCCACUGUGGGCUCUCUUCUCAAACUGAGCCAAAACAAACCACUUCUUCCUUCCUUAAGUUAUGUUCAUUGGCUAUUUCAUUACAAAAAUGAGAAAAGUAACUACUAUCCCUGCCCGCUGAUAUUCAGCACAAAGCAGCCUCAGAGACACUGACCAGACAGCUCAGCUCAGAUGGAGGAUGCGCUUGUGCCUUUACAUGUGGCAGAAUUGAGCCAUGUGGUAUAGGGGAAGCUUCACCGAAGCACUUGACACAGCUGACCUGCCUCUUCCUUCAUGCUCCAGUCCUG